UACGUAGGGGGCUAGCGUUGUCCGGAAUCAUUGGGCGUAAAGAGCGCGUAGGCGGCCAGAUAAGUCCGGUGUGAAAGUCAAAGGCUCAACCUUUGAAUGCCGCUGGAAACUGUCUGGCUAGAGUCCGGGAGGGCGAGUGGAAUUCCUGGUGUAGCGGUGAAAUGCGCAGAUAUCAGGAGGAACACCAAUGGCGAAGGCAGCUCCGCUGGAACGGUACUGACGCUGAGGAGCGAAAGCCAGGGGAGGCAAACGGG
rnacentral:rRNA from 1 species